ACGAUGGAGUUUUCAUGGAUUAUCAAGACACGAGACCGGAAAUCGAAGCUGUAUUUCCGGACGGUCGCAUCGCCCAUCUGAGGACCACAGCGGAUCGCCUAAGGUUCCUCAAAUUCCUGAAAAACGGAGCAUCCAAAAUGCAGAACUAAAAUGACGACG